AUUGAACGCUGGCGGCAGGCCUAACACAUGCAAGUCGAGCGUGAAAGGGCUUCGGCCUGAGUAAAGCGGCGGACGGGUGAGUAACGCGUAGGAAUCUACCUGGUAGUGGGGGAUAACGUUCCGAAAGGGACGCUAAUACCGCAUACGUUCUACGGAAGAAAGCGGGGGCUCGCAAGACCUCGCGCUAUCAGAUGAGCCUGCGUCCGAUUAGCUAGUUGGUAGGGUAAAGGCCUACCAAGGCGACGAUCGGUAACUGGUCUGAGAGGAUGAUCAGUCACACUGGAACUGAGACACGGUCCAGACUCCUACGGGAGGCAGCAGUGGGGAAUAUUGGACAAUGGGGGCAACCCUGAUCCAGCCAUGCCGCGUGUGUGAAGAAGGCCUUCGGGUUGUAAAGCACUUUAAGCUGGGAGGAAGGCUCUGUGGCUAAUAUCCACGGGGAUUGACGUUACCAGCAGAAUAAGCACCGGCAAACUUCGUGCCAGCAGCCGCCGUAA
rnacentral:rRNA from 1 species